GCUCUCGUCGUUCAAUGGAUAGGACAUAGACCUGCGGAGUCUAAAAUACAGGUUCGAUUCCUGUCGAGAGCA
rnacentral:tRNA from 1 species